AAAGAAAGAAGAAAUGUAGUGCAUGUUAUAUCGUGAGUCAACUAGAUGUGAUGGGCAGUCGAAGUUGUGUGAUCAUCUACAGAGGUCGUUGGUAUUAUCUGGCGAAUAUCAUCGUGUGCGUCAUUGCAGAUUAACCACACACAUUUAUACCGACAUACAAGUUAACCACGAUUAUCCAACUGAACUCUAUCACACAAACCUAUCGCAUACUGAGCAUUGCAGCGCGCGAAGCUACGAGCCUCACGGUUGGAGUUUCAUCACGUUAACCCUAUCCUGACCAGACCGGGAUCCUAGCUGACACUACCUGUUCCACUUUCACUGGGAUUGCCCCGCGUCGGAUGAUCGACGUCUGAGGACAUCUGUACCCUUCUGCCAUCGAAUGAUCAUCCUCUGAAAUACUUUGGACUUCUUAAGAUUGAGUACUUUAUUAACAUAAUUUUCAUUGCCUUCAUAUUAUUCUGAAUCAAGACACACUGGUUUAUUGUUUGUUAUUUUACGUAGGCCUACGUUGUUUUAUUGUGAUAUAUUUACAUGUUGUUGAG